AUAAAAGACAAAAUUGAAACCCAAAAAUCUGCUCAUUCUCUUCUCCAUGCUGCCGAAACUUUCAGCAAGCCAUGUCUAGGGUUUCAAGCUUUUUCAAAGUUCAAUUAUCAAAGAAAUCGAGAUUUGGACCAAAUACGGGGAAAUGUCAAUCAAAAUAAUCGACUCACGUUGAGUAUCGCCAAGUUAGCUCGGGAAUCGGUGGACGUCGGAGAUUUGCUCACACUAUCAAUUAGAACACUUGGUAUAUCUAGGUACAUAAAUUUUUGGGUUACGGCAUGUAUAGUAGGUUUGGUCGUUUUGUCAUAUAUGUCAUAUUUCUUAUGGCCUAAAAUGUUGACCCUUAUUUAAUAAAUGUUCUUUUUGAUUAAGGCUAUUUGGAGAUGGCCAAUACGCCUAUGAUAUGGUUAUUCAUGUAUGUGGUAAUUGUAUAAUUGAAUGUUGUGGAGGUGGUUUACAAAUGAUUUCAUGAAUGACGAUGUGUAUGGGAAUGUGAAUGUAAAAUUGGAUA